CCCGCCAACUCAGGGCAUGAAAAUCUCCUUGUCUUUUCUGAUUAUCUACCUAUCAAAGAGUAGGGAAAAGGCAAUAGUCCAUUGAAUAAUAUUCCAAUUACCUACCAGCAAUUUAUGUAGCUUGUUUAAAUAAAGUCAUGCAAAGUAGCAGCUAGCUAGCAUGACAGAUUUGAUUGGUAACUUGUAGCAGAGAUUUUUGUUGUUAUGUUGUGCUCAUGUUGACUUAGCUGUUUUUCUCCUCCUACCAUCUCUCUGCGGGUUUAGUCGGGAAGGUGCAGCUUCAUUUGGUCUUCAUCAAGCGCAACCAGGAGGUGCAUUUAGAAGUGCAGGUUCUCCACAACUCCAGAUGGUUCUCUCACAUCCAGCUUCAGCUUAAUCACUGUUUUCUACCAAUCUCAGUUUGAGUACUUGUCUUCCUCCUGCAGCGUGUCCUCCUUUGAUUAACCUCUUCCUGGAUUCCUGGAUCAUCCUCCCGUGCCGCUGAUCUCACCUGGCGCUUCUUGGAUUGCUUCAUUGUAUCAUCGCUCCGGAUCCCUAAUCGUUUGCUCACCUGUCUGUCCACGCUCCACUGCCUUUCCUGGAAACACCAACAAGUAACCAACAUCGACAGAACUACUCACCUGCUCUCAACCAAUCUCAGCAUUAGUGGACAUACACACCUAUCCCUGGAUCACCAUCUUCAUGAUCAGCAGCAAGCCCAGCCCUUCCUCUUCCUCAGCCUGCACAUCUUCCAUUAUUCUGCACACCCAUAUUAAUCAUUUACCUCUUCCCCCAAUGUGGACCCAGCUGGUUUCCCUUUCCUGCCACCGUUUCUACAGCAAGAUCCUGUUAUGCUCAUAAGCAACUCUUUUCACUUACCUCAUCCGUGUCCGUAUUUGUGGCCUGCACCAGAGUCAAACUGCCCAAACAUGACAGUUCCGCAUAGGCUACUGGAUGAAUAACAGUAUGCAUGUUGCCUUUGAUGCAUAGCUGUAUGCGGUAUGUUAAUUUACAAAGGUCAACUUCAAGUUCACUUAAUCAGUCUGAUUCAAUAUGCUAGAGUUUAUCAAGUUAUUGUAUUGAAAUAUACAGAACUAGUGUGUAAUGUUUAUGCUGUUUAAUAUUAUGACAUUUCUAAUUAGUUUUCCCAACAGAAACCACACACAAACCCUACCACACCCUUCAAGAUAAAGAACAAUAACUUCAUUCCUUUAACUCUAUUUUUUUUUUCUUCCGUUCUCCUCUGCACAUGACAAGUUUCCUGACCCCUAAACCUAAAGAAAACUCACGAGAUUUCCGUGUGGACUUUCCAAGCCUGACUGAAUCCAACAUGAACCAAAAUGACCUCGGUUUUUGCAGUGAUUUAUCCCGCCAUGCUGCCUAAAGGAUGUCCCAAGCCUUUGGACUCACUGGAGAAGACUUUCUGAAGUGACUGAGAGACUUUCAAAGCGGAGUUACGGAAAUUUACUGUGCACACCUUUACUUUAUUCCGGCUCCUGGGAAUGUGCAUCUGUCUGCGUGGUGUUUUCAACAGCCAUGGAUGAAUCAAUCAUCCACAGACUGCAGGACUAAAGCUUCCUAUAGAGUCCCACAGCCUCUGAAAUGCUUCCUGGCACUCAGCACCUGGUCGAGCAUUCAGACCCGGGCUGAGACCCAAACGGGUGCCCUGAAUUUUUCUCUGACACCCUAUCUGCCAGGAACAGUGGACGACAAGCCCUGGAAAGUUUUACUUCUUUAAUGCUGACUCUAUUCAAGUCCAACUAGGACAAUGGCAGCUUGUGUAUAAGGCAAACAGUGUAGGUAUAGUUCACUCAGAAGCAAUAGGGCAACUUGACAAGUUGGAAGCCUGUCAGACGGAACCUAGAUAAGCAACGACAACGCUCAGGGCAACCAUAUGAAACAUUUAUAGGAUUAAGCUGUAAUAAAAUGUAAUAUUCAAAAAAAUAUUAAGAACGUUUUUAUAAACCUCAUUACAGUCAAAAGUUUAAGAAGUUUAAAGGAAGGGGUAUGAGGCAUAAUUUUGAGCACAAAGCUUUAGGAGGAAAAAAAAAAAAGAGUAAGUCAAAGUUCUGGAACCAUGUGGGGGUAAGUCAGCUUCUCCCACCAGAACCGAAACAAUAAAAAAAAAACAAAAGUGUGGUCCGGAAAUCUGUUUGUUCACUCAGAACUGACAGCAUCACUCAAUAGCUGCCACAGUUCUGUUUCCAAUUUGGCUGGUGGGGAAAUUUUAAGCAUGUCUCAUGUUCAUAUUUGAAGCUCACUAGAAAUGGAAAGUUGUGGUCAAGGUCAUCGGAUAUUGUGGUGGUUUCUCAUUUUAGAUUUGAAACUGAGUUAUACAAGAGAGGCAAAACAUAAAAGAAUUUUUUUAUUUUAUUCAAUUAUAGACAACAUUUGUUCAAUAACAGAAAUGCUUAUCCAUAACCAAAUCUGAACGGGGUGAUCAGUCCUUGUUCAGAUUUGGCUGAGCAAGGCUUCUUGCUGUUUUCUUUUAAUGCCUUAGUUUCUCUCAAAACUCUUGGGACGCUGCCCUAAGAGACAGAAACUUUCAUCACGUGUCAUUAUUUGACUAAAAAGACAGUUUUCAGAGUUUAACAAAUUAAUCUAUACCUAAACAAAAGUAAUGUUAUUUCUGAAUCUGUAAACUAGUUUCUAGAGAUUAUCUGAAUAUGAACAUGUGUACUGACAGAUAUUCAGAUAAGACUCUGAACAUGACACUUCAAUGUAAUAAAAACGUCAAGACUCAAAAUGCCAUUUCUGCACAAGAGAGCUUCUUAUGACUAAUGUAAAAGGUCAAUAGAGGAUAUUUUCAUGGGAAUUUGGAGCAAAGCAGUUUCUAUGAUUGCAAUGUCAUGCGUAUUAAGUUAUUUUUGUAUAAUUUAGACAAAUAAUCAGUUAAAGCAGAAAAAUAGCAACUGUGUGUCCAGCUUAGCUGGGGUAGUUUCAGAACUCAUGUGUUGACAGUGAAAAAAUGGAUGCAAAACAAACUGUCACGCCAGUUUCGUUGCAUGCCUCCAUAUACCACAGAGAUUCAGCAGCACCAGCAGUUGAGCUUGUGUUUCAAAUGAUAUGUGUGUUGUGGGUUUGAAAUAAGCUCAACUAAAUCUGGGCAACUCAGAGAAAAUAACUUUCAAAUAUUUGUCCAACAUUUUCCUAUUCUCAUUCCAGAGGUUAGAUAUCCUGCAUGUUGUUAAAAUUAAAUUGCUUUGUUGCACAAAUGAGCCUCUGCAAAAAAAAAAAAAAAAAAAAAAAAGAGUGCUAUAUUUCUUCUGGUAAUCCUCUUAUUAGGUAGUGAACCUUCAUUUUUGAGGCAUAACCAUAUUUGAAUUUUGGAACUUCUCUGGUUUGGAUGAUUGCAAUUCUUGAAUUUAUUUCUCCAGAUUAGACUUUGCCUUCGUAAAGGAAACUGAUCAGCCUAGUUUAGUUAUGAUUCUCCAACCACAAUUUGUUACGUAGCAACCAACUGACUAAGCUGUUAAUUAAAGGACACAGUGUCAGAAAACAAUAGUUGAACUCUUGAAUGUCUUCUGUUGAAACUAACCAUUACAGAACAACUAAUACCACACAAUUAGUUGCAUGAUCGCUUGUAACUGAAUCGACAGACCUGGUAUGAGCCUCUACUAUGAGUGGUGCUUUUGUAAAUUUGAGCUUGGAAACACUGCCGACUGGUGGCCGAAAGAAGUAGUGCACAAAGUAAGGCCUCUAUUUUCUUCACACAAUAUGCACUUUUUAUAAGUUUGAGUAGAGUUUUAGCAACAGUGCUACAGUUUGUUGAUGAAAGGUGUUUUGGAGAACAUUCUCAUGUGUUUUGCCAGGAAUAGACGGAAAAUAUUUCUGGACCAUUUCCAUCGAAAGUACAUCUAGUACUUUGUCUGCUUUCUGGAGAACCGCUAACAUGAUGCAGAAAACACUGCUCACUCUUGUCCGGGAUCUUCAGGAGGUUUAAUGCUAUUAGAAGUGGGCGGUUUCUCUGUUCUGCUGCUUGCCUACCAAGAAUGAACAAAUUCACUGACUCAAUGAAAGUAGCUGGACUUUCUUAGAAUUUUUUUAUUUUAUUUAGAUAAUCGUAUCAUAUGAUUAUCCAAUUUUGACUAAUGUGUUGUAAUUAGGUUUGAAUUAAUGUAAUGUGAAAUUGAACUCGGUAAGAUUCUACACAAUUUAACAUAUUUUCGAAGAGAAAACCCAGAGAUGACUUGAGUUGGCGCCUUUUAAAAACAAAAUUAAAUCUCAGGUGACUAAUGAAAAUUAUACUUGGAAGUUGCAAACUCUCUCAAAGUAUGUAAACCUCCCCAUAUUACCUAAUUUGUGGAGAAUUCACAGGCAAAACAGUCCACUCUUAGAGACCAAAACAAAUUACUAUUGAUCAUCUCAUUAAUGCAACCUCUUGAAAGAAAACAUUUUGUUUCUGGUACCGACGUGGACAUUGCAUUACCUCAACUUAAUGGCAACCCAGUCUACUCCAGCGAGGACACAAAUAUUGCUUAAACUACAAAAUAGAUUGAGUUACAGUAGUGAAAAGCUCAAUACAGAAUUACAGAUGACCUACAUCAUCUGAUUCCAGUAUGAAUUCUCCAGUUUGAGGAUGGACAAGCGAGUGUAAUGUCCAGGACAAUUCAUAAAACAUAGAAGUCAAGCCUGUACAAUUGAAACACUAUUUUAUUAUAUUACAUUUAAAACAUGGACAGCAGUUACAUUGUCUGAUCCUAGUGUCACUUAUUUGGACAUAGACACACCUUUUUCAGUAUGCACCCCUGUGGCACCAGUUACUUGGGUAUGAAAAACAAGAGACAGCUUUUUGAAGGUGGCCAGUUUUUGUGCGCUUUAACAAGACUGGUGGUUUGCAUUUGCAUUAGUCGACUGGUGACCGACCAGAAAUUGGUUUUCACAUUUCUUUCCUUAAUUAAGGGGGAUGUGGUUCGUUUUAAACAGCAAAGCACUUUGAAUCGUUUAU